UCCUUAGUCCGAGAGGUACAAGUCCAAGA
rnacentral:piRNA from 1 species